UACGUAGGGUCCGAGCGUUGUCCGGAUUUAUUGGGCGUAAAGAGCUCGUAGGCGGUUCCGUAAGUCAGAUGUGAAAACUCAGGGCUCAACCCGGAGACGCCAUCUGAUACUGCGGUGACUGGAGUCUGGUAGGGGAUCACGGAAUACCUGGUGUAGCGGUGAAAUGCGCAGAUAUCAGGUGGAACACCGAUGGCGAAGGCAGUGAUCUGGGCCAGUACUGACGCUGAGGCGCGAAAGCGUGGGGAGCAAACAGG
rnacentral:rRNA from 1 species